UUCAUUUGGUUUAUAUUAGAUCUUCCGAUAACGAAGCUGAUGAAGUCGAUGAAGCAAACAUGGCGGGAUCUUAAGUCACCGUUAGGGAAUAGCGGUGACGAAGCUGAUGAAACAGAGGCUCAUGACAAGGAUGGCGGUCGGCGAGAUCUUGAGUCCCGGUGCAUCAUCGAUGUGGAAAUGGAGCAUAUAAGAGCUCGCUUCAGCGCCUCCUACCGAGCUAGAUCCGCCUCUGGAAGAACUGAUGAUGUGACGCCGACGCAUCCCGGCGGUGGCAGCGGCCGAGUAGUGUAUGGCCAUGACGCUUGGGCGAGAGACAGAGGAGGAGGUGGUUGUCUGUGUCUGAUAAGAGGCUUGAGCCAUGAAUUUGAAUGAUUGCAAUGGAUAGAGAUGAAAUUGAAGCGAAGGGUGUCUGUCUCCCUCUCUUAUAAAUCAGAUAAGGAAGAUGAAGGAUGUAUAAUUAUUUAUCGAUUUACAGAGAAGAAUUAACACCUGAUGGGUAGGAUUUUAGGUUUUAAAACUUGGUGGUUGUAAAUUUGGGAAAACAACAAACUAUGGAUGGGAACAAGUCUUUUGGCCAAAAAAAUAAACGGUCAGCAAAGUAUUGUUCCAAAUACAAAGGCUGACCAGGAAAAGAAAAAUGGAAAAGGGAAUGAUGUUUCUGCUUCCCAGACCGAGUGUUGAAACUAUGAAGUCUGAUGCUGGAAAAAUCAGUGGUGGGAAAAUUUGUAUGGCAUUACUAGCUGUUCUGAAGAUGCUCCAAUGUUGCAAAUGUGAAAAGAAUAUCCACAUGAUGCCUCAAAUGGUGGAGCGAAUAGUGGAAUUGAACAUAAUUCCCAUAUAGGUAUGGAUGAUAUCGCUGAGAUGGACAGAGCGGGCAUGGAGGAUGAUGAUAUUCACGAGAUAGGUGAAGGAAGAUUAAAUGACGCAGUUUGUCUGACUGGGAAUCCUCUAAUCUUUUAUGCUGUAUCUGUUUGUGGCCCUUACAGCGUAGUGCAGUUUUAGAAAUAUUGUGUGAAGAUGUUAUUCCUAUCUUUACAUAGCUUUUGGUUCGUUAAUGCUUCGUUUGAUGCUUUUCUGUAUUGCCAAGACAAUUUUAAUGCUUUGAUAAUUUGUCCUGCCCAGAAAAUGAUAAGAUAUAUUCAGAGCAUUUUCUUUA